GAUGAACGCUGGCGGUAUGCUUAACACAUGCAAGUCGAACGGACUCUUCGGAGUUAGUGGCGGACGGGUGAGUAACGCGUGAGAAUCUGGCUUUGGGUUCGGGACAACCACUGGAAACGGUGGCUAAUACCGGAUGUGCCGAGAGGUAAAAGAGAAAUUGCCUGAAGAUGAGCUCGGGUCUGAUUAGCUAGUUGGUGAGGUAAAGGCUCACCAAGGCAGCGAUCAGUAGCUGGUCUGAGGGGAUGACCAGACACAGUGGGACUGAGACACGGCCCAGACUCAUACGAGAGGGAGGAGGGGAGAAUUGUCCGAAAUGGGCGAAAGCGUGACGGAGAAAUACCGCGUGAGAGAAGGAGGCUCUUGGGGUGUAAAGCUCUUUUCUUAGGGAAGAACAAAAUGACGGUAACUAAGGAAUAAGCACCGGCUAACUACGUG
rnacentral:rRNA from 1 species